AGAACGAACGCUGGCGGCACGCCUAACACAUGCAAGUCGAGCGCCCAGCAAUGGGAGCGGCGGACGGGUGAGGAACACGUGGGAACAUGCCUUUCGGUUCGGCACAACUGCGGGAAACUGCAGCUAAUUCCGGAUACGCCCUUACGGGGAAAGAUUUAUCGCCGAAAGAUUGGCCCGCGUCUGAUUAGCUAGUUGGUGAGGUAAUGGCUCACCAAGGCUUCGAUCAGUAGCUGGUUUGAGAGAACGACCAGCCACACUGGGACUGAGACACGGCCCAGACUCCUACGGGAGGCAGCAGUGGGGAAUCUUGGACAAUGGAGGAAACUCUGAUCCAGCGAUGCCGCGUGAGUGGUGAAGGCCUUCGGGUUGUAAAACUCUUUUACCAGGGAAGAUAAUGACUGUACCUGGAGAAUAAGCCCGGCUAACUUCGCGCCAGCAGCCGC
rnacentral:rRNA from 1 species